UACGAAGGGGGCUAGCGUUGCUCGGAAUCACUGGGCGUAAAGGGUGCGUAGGCGGGUCUUUUAAGUCAGGGGUGAAAUCCUGGAGCUCAACUCCAGAACUGCCUUUGAUACUGAGGAUCUUGAGUUCGGGAGAGGUGAGUGGAACUGCGAGUGUAGAGGUGAAAUUGUAGAUAUUCGCAAGAACACCAGUGGCGAAGGCGGCUCACUGGCCCGAUACUGACGCUGAGGCACGAAAGCGUGGGGAGCAAACAGG
rnacentral:rRNA from 1 species